GUGCUCACUUUGGCAGCACAUAUACUAAAAUUGGAACAAUAUAGAGAUUAGCAUGGCCCCUGAACAAGGAUGACACGCAAAUUCAUGAAGCGUUCCAUAUUAAA
ensembl:snRNA U6 U6 spliceosomal RNA